UUGUUGACUUUAUUGUAAAUUGACAACAAAAUGAUUUAUACUUCAUGAAAAAUAUACAAGAUGUCAUUUGGUAAAACAGUAAAAACUUUGAAGCUGAGCAUGAUUUAAUAUGAAAUGUAACAAAAUAAUACAAAAUUUUGGAAAAUGGCUUUACAUUAUUAUUAAUCUUAUAUAAGUGUAUUCGUUUUAAAUUAUGCAACCAUAUUCUUAUGAAAUCAAAAAGUAUUUGUUUUGAUAGUCGCUUUUCCUAUAAACGAUGAAUAACGUAAUCAUUUCCAGCAAACACUUACAAUCGGUGCUAUUGAUCACACCUUGACGGCAUAUGACAUUUUUGUAUAUGAAAAGUAUGAAAAUAUCGCCGGAAAGUGUUAAACCGACUUGAUUAGAAGAUGAUUGAAAGGAUGUAGAGACCAGUGUAAAGGGCUGCAUGGUCGUCAUCUUUGGCGUCGAGAGGUGGUGGCCACUAAUCGUUUCAGGAGUGUGCGCGAAGUGCGCCACACGCAUUAGCGAUGCCGUUGUGCGUUAUCAGUCGGCCGUUGAGACACUCACGGGGCUUCUGAGUUUUGUUACCGCGUAACAUCGUUAACGACAACAAGUCCGUCGUCAGUUCACGCGGAAUUUCUCGUCGGUUUCCCACCCCGCGGCUCUCGGGUUUUUACCCCCAAUGACUUGUUGAACGCGCCUGGCCAGUGCGGUGGUGUCUGGGCCUCGUCGGGAGUGCGUUCACUGUUCUUUUGUUGCGCGUCGGUUUGUUGGUGCGACAGACAUGCAGCCGACCGCAGCUGCCAACGCGUUCGAGAAGACCACGUUGGAAUUCCGAUACGAUACGUGUCUCAACUUAUCGGCAGAUGUUGCGGAAAACAUACCGCUGUGCUACAAUAGUACAUAUGACAUGUAUGGCGAUAACAGCACUGACGAGGAAAUUGCUAGGGUGGAACAGAUCGUAUCGCUAGCGGUGCCCAUACUGUUCGGCAUCAUUGUCGUUGUCGGACUGCUCGGCAAUUUGCUAGUGGUCAUCGUGGUAAUGGCCAAUCAACAAAUGCGAAGCACCACCAACCUACUCAUCAUCAACCUGGCGCUCGCCGAUCUGUUGUUCAUCGUGUUCUGCGUGCCAUUCACCGCGGUCGAUUACAUGUUACCUUAUUGGCCGUUCGGCGAUGUCUGGUGCAAAAUGGUGCAAUAUCUUAUCGUGGUGACCGCCUACGCCAGCGUCUACACUUUAGUACUCAUGUCACUGGACCGGUUUCUGGCUGUGGUCCAUCCCAUUGCGUCCAUUUACGUGCGAACCGAACGAAACGCGUCUUCCGCCAUAAUCGUCACGUGGGUGCUCAUUGUGUUACUAGCACUCCCCGUGCUCGCCAGGCACGGCGAGGUCACGUACACCUUUUCCAGCAUCGAGCACACGGCGUGCAUAUUUCUGGACAGGGAUCCGAAAACCAGGCCGGACGGCUACAACAAACCAGCAUAUCAGAUAUUUUUCUUCCUCACUUCCUAUGCCAUUCCUCUGGCUCUGAUAUGUAUACUAUACGUACUGAUGUUAAUGAGACUUUGGAAGGGAGUAAAUCCAGGUGGUCAACCGCCUUCUGCAGAAAGUCGACGAGGCAAGAAGCGAGUAACUAGAAUGGUUGUGGUCGUAGUCGCCAUAUUUGCAUUCUGCUGGUUUCCUAUUCAAGUGAUUUUAGUAUUGAAGAGCAUAAACUAUUAUGACAUUACCGCUAUCAGUGUUGUAGUGCAAAUUGUCAGUCAUUGUCUAGCUUAUGCAAAUUCGUGUCUCAAUCCAAUAUUAUAUGCUUUUCUAUCGGAAAAUUUCCGAAAGGCAUUCAGAAAAGUGAUAAUCCCGUGGAGGCCAGAGGUUAACGUACAAGGCAGAUUUGUAAAUGGAGAUGCCCGAUCCAUGGCUAUCACUCGAACUACUAGAACUAACAACGAUAUCCUUUGAGACUACAAAGGAUAUGAAUACGUCACUAAAAUAAUCGUUGAUUGAUUUUUAAGGAUAUUAUUGCAAAAGGGAUUCACUCAAAUCACGACCAUGGUAGAAGCCCGAAGAGAAAUGUAAAUUUUCCGUAUAUUACGUCCAGUUGAAGUGAGUUAUUAAGCCUUACAAUACAAUUGGAGACUGUGAUAGAGAAUUUAUUACAAUUGUAGAACCAACCACAUACAGAGCUCAACCAAAGAAAUAACUAAACUGCAAAUUAAUUAGCUGAUGUGAUCAUAAAAUUACUAAAUAUUAGUUUUUUAUAAAUAUAUAUGUCUAUAUAUA